GGGAGAGUCACGGAGACUGAUGACCUCUGUUUAAUGACAAAUAGGAACAACAUCAGGAGUAUCAGCAGAGCCUGCUCCUCACUGAUUAAACAACAUGCUCUGAGCCCAGCUGAGAUAGCUCAUUUGUAAGGGUAAGAGGUGAACCCAGCUUUCAUGUCCAUUUAGUCUUUGAUAUGU
rnacentral:sRNA from 1 species